CGGCAAUAAAUUUCAUUAGCCGGGGAAACCUUCGUUGUCGUCACACACACACACACAGACGCGUACACACACACACACACACGGCGCGCACAGACGAUCAGAAAAAUAUUCAGAGAAUUAAAAAAAAAAAAAAAAAAAAAAAAAAACUACACCUCGCGUUUGGAGAUCUAGAUAAUAUUAUAAUAAUACGUGUAUACGCUCGCGUAUAUAAUAUAAUGUAUAAUAUAUAAGAGCAGCGGAUGAGGCUUUAUUAUAUGGGCAUUAAAAAAAAAAGGUAAAAAACGUAUACGUGUACUAUAUAAC